UACGAAGGGGGCGAGCGUUGUUCGGAAUUACUGGGCGUAAAGGGCGCGUAGGCGGCGACUCAAGUUAGAUGUGAAAGUCCUGGGCUUAACCUGGGGACUGCAUUUGAUAUUGGGUUGCUUGAAUUCGGGAGAGGAUAGCGGAAUUCCCAGUGUAGAGGUGAGAUUCGUAGAUAUUGGGAAGAACACCGGUGGCGAAGGCGGCUAUCUGGACCGACAUUGACGCUGAGGCGCGAAAGCGUGGGGAGCAAACAGG
rnacentral:rRNA from 1 species